rnacentral:rRNA from 1 species
UUCGAUUGGCGGACGGGUGAGUAAUAUAUAGGUAAUGUGCCCUAGAGAAGAGGAUAACAGUUGGAAACGACUGCUAAUACUCUAUAUGCCUUUAAGACAAAAGUUUGCAAGGGAAAUAUUUAUAGCUCUAGGAUCGGCCUGUACGGUAUCAGCUAGUUGGUGAGGUAAUGGCUCACCAAGGCAAUGACGCCUAACUGGUUUGAGAGGAUGAUCAGUCACACUGGAACUGAGACACGGUCCAGACUCCUACGGGAGGCAGCAGUGGGGAAUAUUGCACAAUGGGGGAAACCCUGAUGCAGCAACGCCGCGUGGAGGAUGACACAUUUCGGUGCGUAAACUCCUUUUAUAUAGGAAGAUAAUGACGGUACUAUAUGAAUAAGCGCCGGCUAACUCCGUGCCAGCAGCCGCGGUAAUACGGAGGGCGCAAGCGUUACUCGGAAUCACUGGGCGUAAAGAGCGUGUAGGCGGGUUAAUAAGUUUGAAGUGAAAUCCUAUGGCUCAACCAUAGAACUGCUUUGAAAACUGUUAACCUAGAAUAUGGGAGAGGUAGAUGGAAUUUCUGGUGUAGGGGUAAAAUCCGUAGAGAUCAGAAGGAAUACCGAUUGCGAAGGCGAUCUACUGGAACAUUAUUGACGCUGAGACGCGAAAGCGUGGGGAGCAAACAGGAUUAGAUACCCUGGUAGUCCACGCCCUAAACGAUGUACACUAGUUGUUGUGAGGCUAGACCUUGCAGUAAUGCAGUAAACACAUUAAGUG